UACGGGGGGUGCUAACGUUGUCCGGAAUUACUGGGCGUAAAGAGCUCGUAGGCGGUUUGUCGCGUCUGCCGUGAAAGUCCGGGGCUCAACUCCGGAUCUGCGGUGGGUACGGGCAGACUAGAGUGAUGUAGGGGAGACUGGAAUUCCUGGUGUAGCGGUGAAAUGCGCAGAUAUCAGGAGGAACACCGAUGGCGAAGGCAGGUCUCUGGGCAUUAACUGACGCUGAGGAGCGAAAGCAUGGGGAGCGAACAGG
rnacentral:rRNA from 1 species